GCACCAGGCGCCCCAGCCCUUGGCGUGACCCCGGUCCCAGGUCGGGGCUUAGCCGUGAUGGCCAGCUGCAGUGCUCCUCCCGAAGAAGGCAAUGUGGUUCCCCUCCUUUUCCCGCCAAGGCUGAGGAGCCCGGCCUUCCACUGUUCGCUGUGGGCUGUGCCCAGGCCUUCACCUUGAAGAGGAGUCCUGGGGACAAGGGUUUUGUAUAUUGCAAAGGCGGUGGUGUGCCUUUGCUCCAGCCCCUCUGCAGGUUGGGCCAUGGCCAGCAGCGUUGCCACCUGCUCCGGAUCUCACCAAGAGUGGAGCCGGCCACAGUGCUUAGCGCACAUUCUUCCUCAUUGUACACCUUUCUCACCUUGUCUCCCGGACUCCCAGGGCUCCUAUUCAUCCUUCAGAGCCCUGCCUGGCAUCUGCUGCCCAGAAG
ensembl:lncRNA